GAGCUUGGUUAAAGAGUUGUAAUUAAUACCCAGUCCCCCAUCAACUUUUGGUAAACAAAGAGAGUCGCACCUCUGUUGCAUUCGAAAUCACCUACCACCAACGCCACCAACACCAUCACCAUCGACCAUCCUCAUAGCUGCCUCCUCUCCUUCAACACCACCACCCUCCCCCCAAGCCAUCUUCACCACUACACCACCAUUACCACCACCGUUGCCACCACGUCUACCAUCGUCACAAGCGUCACUACCCCACCACGGGUCCACGACAUUAGCCACUUCUACCCACCAUCAGAAAUGCAACCACCACUUCCACCACCUUAUAAGGACGACGAUGUCAGCACCACAAAACAAAAAUUGAAUACCGCUAACAAACUGCACCUAAACGAGAACUUGUAUCAGCGGCUCUUUCCAAAAGGCCUGAAUGCAAGUCAACAAAAACAUCACCUGGAUUACUCCAAUUCUUUUUAAUCAAGACCUGGAUUUCUUUCUUCAUUUGAAUACUCAUUUUUCUCCAAAAAAAAGAGUUUCAUCUUGAAAUUCAGCUGAAAGAAUGUAACGAACCACUCUAAAGCUAAUAAGGAUACAAAUGCAAAAGUUAAUUCUGAACAACUAAAAGUUAUUUUCGAAUUAAACAUUAAACACUAAAUAGCUUCAAAAAGAGUGAAAUUCUGAAGGAAAAGAAGCAACAUGUAGUUCCGAAACACACCAGAAACCCUUCCGAUCUCAAAGAAGCUAGCAAACCAUGCAUUCAAAUGAAAGUAAAACAAAAAAUCAACAUGCAAAAUCUCGACAAUUACAAACAGCAUCAAUAGCAGAAACUCGGGGUAACUAGACAUUCAAAUUCGUACUACAGAUCCAACAUCCCAAAAAAAGGACGAAGAAUACAGUAAGACAGAGUACCAACAGACGGGAAUAAAGCAGCCCAUCCUAUCACUCCCGCCCAAUAUGAGGAAGAGAUUAUAUGCAACCCUAAGGCUGUGUUGAAUCCGUGCUUUAUGAAGGGAUUGACCAAGGGAAAGAAAAACAAUAGGGAAUAAAUAAAAAACCUAAGUUCAACUUGUAUUAGUAAUAGCGAGAGCCAGUGUCAUAAACACGGCCACCAGGAUACGGUCCUCUGGGCUCAAAGCCAUGGUGAUCCCUAUUACCCCCGAGAAAUCGGGCCCGCUCUCUGUAGGAAUCAUACUGAUCUCCGUUAUAGGCUCGGUUUGGCUCAGCAGCAGCAGCAUCAAC